AUCAUCAUAGCUGUCCCAAACAGACAUUUCAAAGUAUCUUGCAGUAAAUGACUGUUUAAGUACAUUACAAAUAAAACUCAAGAGAAAAGAGAAAUAUGUAGAGAGAAAGAACAGCAAAUUCAGCAUGAUCCUGGUCCACACAGCAAAACCAUCAGAAAGCUAGCAUGCUAGGUAUCAGUCCAGAGAAACCAUCAGAAAGCUAGCUAGCUAGGAAUCAUCCAGAGGAACCAUCAGAAAGCCAGCUAGCUAGAUAUCAGUCCAGAGGAACCAUCAGAAAGCCAGCUAGCUAGGAAUCAGUCCAGAGGAACCAUCAGAAAGCCAGCUAGCUAGGAAUCAGUCCAGAGGAACCAUCAGAAAGCUAGCUAGCUAGCUAGGAAUCAGUCCAGAGGAACCAUCAGAAAGCUAGCUAGCUAGCUAGGAAUCAGUCCAGAGGAACCAUCAGAAAGCCAGCUAGCUAGGAAUCAGUCCAGAGGAACCAUCAGAAAGCUAGCUAGCUAGGAAUCAGUCCAGAGGAACCAUCAGAAAGCUAGCUAGCUAGAUAUCAGUCCAGAGGAACCAUCAGAAAGCUAGCUAGCUAGGAAUCAGUCCAGAGGAACCAUCAGAAAGCUAGCUAGCUAGGUAUCAGUCCAGAG
rnacentral:lncRNA from 1 species